rnacentral:rRNA from 1 species
AAUUUGCAGAGGAUGCUUCGGUGUCGGCACCGGUCUAAGUUCCUUGGAACAGGACGUCACAGAGGGUGAGAAUCCCGUAUGUGAUCGGCUGCCAUCGCCAUGUGAAGCUCCUUCGACGAGUCGAGUUGUUUGGGAAUGCAGCUCUAAAUGGGAGGUAAAUUUCUUCUAAAGCUAAAUACUGGCCAGAGACCGAUAGCGCACAAGUAGAGUGAUCGAAAGAUGAAAAGCACUUUGGAAAGAGAGUUAAACAGCACGUGAAAUUGUUGAAAGGGAAGCGGUUGCCACCAGACUUGACCACGGGCGCUCAGCCGGGCUUCUGCCCGGUGCACUCGCUCGUGGCCAGGCCAGCAUCAGUUCGGGCGGUCGGACAAAGGUCCUGGGAAUGUAGCUCCCCUCGGGGAGUGUUAUAGCCCAGGGCGUAAUACGGCCAGCCUGGACUGAGGUCCGCGCUUCGGCUAGGAUGCUGGCGUAAUGGUUGCAACCGGCCCGUCUUGAAACACGGACCAAGGAGUCUAACAUCUAUGCGAGUGUUUGGGUGUCAAACCCAUACGCGUAAUGAAAGUGAACGGAGGUGGGAGCCCCAAGGCGCACCAUCGACCGAUCCUGAUGUCUUCGGAUGGAUUUGAGUAUGAGCAUGGCUGUUGGGACCCGAAAGAUGGUGAACUAUGCCUGAAUAGGGUGAAGCCAGAGGAAACUCUGGUGGAGGCUCGCAGCGGUUCUGACGUGCAAAUCGAUCGUC